rnacentral:rRNA from 1 species
CUACGGGAGGCUGCAGUGGGGAAUAUUGGACAAUGGGGGAAACCCUGAUCCAGCAAUGCCGCGUGUGUGAAGAAGGCCUGCGGGUUGUAAAGCACUUUCGGUUGGGAGGACUGCUUCUAGCACUAAUAUUGUUGGAAGUUGACGUUACCUUCAGAAGAAGCACCGGCUAGCUCCGUGCCAGCAGCCGCGGUAAUACGGGGGGUGCAAGCGUUAAUCGGAAUUACUGGGCGUAAAGCGCGCGUAGGCGGCUAGAUCAGUCGGGUGUGAAAGCCCCGGGCUUAACCUGGGAACUGCAUCCGAUACUGUCUAGCUUGAGUACAGGAGAGGAGGGUGGAAUUCCACAUGUAGCGGUGAAAUGCGUAGAUAUGUGGGGGAACACCAAUGGCGAAGGCAGCUCUCUGGCCUGAUACUGACGCUGAGGUGCGAAAGCGUGGGGAGCAAACAGGAUUAGAUACCCCAGUAGUC